UACGGAAGGGGCGAGCGUUGUUCGGAAUCAUUGGGCGUAAAGGGCGCGUAGGUGGUUCUGUAUGUCUACCGUGAAAGCGUACGGCUCAACCGUAUUUUGUCGGUAGAAACUGCAGGACUUGAGGCUGGGAGGGGCUGGUGGAAUUCCCUGUGUAGCGGUGAAAUGCGUAGAGAUGGGGGAGAACACUCGUGGCGAAGGCGGCCAGCUAGACCAGUUCUGACACUGAGGCGCGAAAGCGUGGGUAGCAAACAGG
rnacentral:rRNA from 1 species